UACGUAGGGUGCAAGCGUUAUCCGGAAUUAUUGGGCGUAAAGAGCUCGUAGGCGGUUUGUCGCGUCUGCUGUGAAAACUGGAGGCUCAACCUCCAGCCUGCAGUGGAUACGGGCAGACUAGAGGUAGGUAGGGGAGAAUGGAAUUCCCGGUGUAGCGGUGAAAUGCGCAGAUAUCGGGAGGAACACCGGUGGCGAAGGCG
rnacentral:rRNA from 1 species